GACGAACGCUGGCGGCGUGCCUAACACAUGCAAGUCGAACGGAAAGGCCCUGCUUUUGUGGGGUGCUCGAGUGGCGAACGGGUGAGUAACACGUGAGUAACCUGCCCUUGACUUUGGGUUAACUUCAGGAAACUGGGGCUAUUACCGGAUAGGAGCUCCUGCUGCAUGGUGGGGGCUGGAAAGUUUCGGCGGUUGGGGAUGGACUCGCGGCUUAUCAGCUUGUUGGUGGGGUAGUGGCUUACCAAGGCUUUGACGGGUAGCCGGCCUGAGAGGGUGACCGGCCACAUUGGGACUGAGAUGCGGCACAGACUCGUACGGGAGGCAGCGGGGGGGAAGAUUGCACAAUGGACGGAGGGCUGGUGCAGCAACGCCGCGUGCGGGAAAACAGCCUUCGGGUUGUAAACCGCUUUCGCCUGAGACGAAGCGUGAGUGACGGUAAUGGGUAAAGAAGCACCGGCUAACUACGUG
rnacentral:rRNA from 1 species